rnacentral:other from 1 species
AAUAUCCUGAGAUGUGCGUGAUGCCUUAGUUUUGAACCUGCUAUAUGUGACACGGGAGCCCGAUUGUUUGUGCACGUAGCACAGGCCACAAGAUAAUUCCGACAAACAGCUCAAGCUGUUUGCAACGGCGGUGGAAAUGUGAAAUGCGCAAUAGGGCACCCACCUGGCGAGUGCCAGGUGUCAAAAUAGGUAAACGGCAUCUUGGGGCAAAG